rnacentral:rRNA from 1 species
CGNAAUGCGAUACGUAGUGUGAAUUGCAGAAUUCCGCGAAUCAUCGAGUUUUUGAACGCAAGUUGCGCCCGAGGUCUAGUGCCGAGGGCAUGCCUGCCUGAGCGUCAUG